ACAUUUCAUGUGCGUAGCACGACAGGUUAAUCCGAGUGAUUUCUGCUAAGGAAAUCUUUUGCCAGUCAUAAAACCACUGGUGAAUAAGGGGUGGGCAAGUUCUGGUGUCAGCCGCCGCGGUAAAAGACA
rnacentral:rRNA from 1 species